rnacentral:rRNA from 1 species
CCAAUAGCGUAUAUUAAAGUUGUUGCAGUUAAAAAGCUCGUAGUUGAAUUUCGGGGUCAGCAGGUUGGUCGUGCCUCUGGUACGCACUGGUUUCGCUGAUUCCUCCUUUCUGAAGAACUGUAAUGUCAUUAAUUUGGUGUUGCAGGGAAACAGGACUGUUACUUUGAAAAAAUUAGAGUGUUUAAAGCAAGCUAACGCUUGAAUACAUUAGCAUGGAAUAAUGAAAUAGGACGUUUGAUCCUAUUUUGUUGGUUUCUAGGAUUGACGUAAUGAUUAAUAGGGAUAGUUGGGGGCAUUAGUAUUCAAUUGUCAGAGGUGAAAUUCUUGGAUUUAUUGAAGACUAACUACUGCGAAAGCAUUUGCCAAGGAUGUUUUCAUUAAUCAAGAACGAAAGUUAGGGGAUCGAAGACGAUCAGAUACCGUCGUAGUCUUAACCAUAAACUAUGCCGACUAGGGAUCGGAUGAUGUUAAUUUUUUAAUGACUCAUUCGGCGCCUUACG